GCGCUCGCUUCGGCAGCACAUAUACUAAAACUGGAAUGAUGCAGAGAAGAUUAGCACGGCCCCUGUGCAAGGAUGAUACACAAAUUCGUGAAGCUUCCAUAUUUAU
ensembl:snRNA U6 U6 spliceosomal RNA